rnacentral:rRNA from 1 species
GAACGCUGGCGGCGUGCUUAACACAUGCAAGUCGAACGGAAAGGCCCUGCUUUUGUGGGGUGCUCGAGUGGCGAACGGGUGAGUAACACGUGAGUAACCUGCCCUUGACUUUGGGAUAACUUCAGGAAACUGGGGCUAAUACCGGAUAGGAGCUCCUGCUGCAUGGUGGGGGGUGGAAAGUUUCGGCGGCUGGGGAUGGACUCGCGGCUUAUCAGCUUGUUGGUGGGGUAGUGGCUUACCAAGGCUUUGACGGGUAGCCGGCCUGAGAGGGUGACCGGCCACAUUGGGACUGAGAUACGGCCCAGACUCCUACGGGAGGCAGCAGUGGGGAAUAUUGCACAAUGGGCGGAAGCCUGAUGCAGCAACGCCGCGUGCGGGAUGACGGCCUUCGGGUUGUAAACCGCUUUCGCCUGUGACGAAGCGUGAGUGACGGUAAUGGGUAAAGAAGCACCGGCUAACUACGUG